AAGAGUUGAAGAACUGAAUAGAUGAAGAACUGAAUAGAUGAAGAACUGAAGUCGAAGAAUUGAUUUCGUCAAGCAAGAGGAGAAUAAGAAGGAAUUGAUAACUUUGGGGUUGUUGGCUAAGAACACGAUUUCAGACAGGACUGAAGCUAGGAACACGAUUUCAUACCGAAUGGAAGAGGUCAACAACUGAAGAGAUUCUCGCUAAAGGACACGAUUUACAUCAUAGUUCUCGCUAAAAAUAGGAUUUUGUUGGAAUAGGGUUUAUCAAAAAGACUGAGGAGCUUGAAUUGAAGAAGACACAACAAGAAACCAAAGCUAUUAAAACUUCAAGGAAAGCUAUUCCAUCAAUGUGGCAAGAAAUGUGCAAGAAACAAUUAAUGAUAGUCAAUUCAGAUUUCAUGGAAAAUAUGGAGGUAUUCUAAUUAAUCAACCUAUAUGUAUGUUUUUGCCUUGCAUGUGGAAUUAGAUGCAACUCACACUUCCAUAAUUUCAUAUUAUGCUGUAACUUACAUUUGAGAUACACAACUCAAUCAUUUCUGAUGUCUCUAAUGUAAUCCAUAAAAAGCGCUAAAUUUCCCCUCUAUAGUUCUCUGAGUUUUUAUUUCUAGUUAGGGUGAAGGGGAAAGGGAGAGGUGGGGCUGAAUUAUGUUUGAUUAGUGAGAAAGUAGAGAGAUUCAUGGUACUGUAAGAUAUGCAUGUUACCGUAGGAGUCAUGAUAUUUUUAGUCCUAGUAAUUUCUGUCGACUGUUAAAUGUUAAUUGGGUGAUGAAUGCAGAAAAAGUUUCUGAACCUUGUGUCUAAACUGGAAGAAAAAGAUAACGCGAUCACAACAUUUAUAUUGUCGGCUGAACAAUUUGCUGAAGUUAAGAGAAAGGAAAUGGAACAAGGAAGUGAGAAACAGGGAGUGCAAGCAGUAGAUGUAGCAAUGGAGAGAUCAAAUGAUCAAGGCAAGGAGAUAACAACAAUUACACUAAUAAUUUGGUCCAAACACCACCCUCAGUCUCUUCUUCUACUGCCAUAGCUCCUCUUUCAUUGCUGCCUUACACUAAUAAUUUUCAUAACAACAACCUCGCAUUCCCUGUCAAGCCUGUCCCUGAAAGACGAAUAGUCAUUGUUACUGUCUCCACCAUAUCUGGUGAAAC